rnacentral:lncRNA from 1 species
UAUGAACAUACAUUUAGUGUACAUGUAUUAUGAACAUUCCAGUCAGGAGCCUGUAAUUCAGUGGUUCAGUGAUAUUUGUUUUUCGUACAUUUUUUGUACAUAAAUAAGGCUGUUAGUUUUCUCAUUUGAAUUGUUUUACAUUGUCAUUUCUGGGCCUUUUAUAUCAGACUAUGCAGUAUCGGCUUUUGCUUAUUGUUGAAGGCCGUUAGGUGACCUUUAAAUGUUAAUUUCGG